UAGCGGAGGAAAAGAACACCAACAGCGGAUUGCCCUUAGUAACGGCGAAGUGAAGCGGCAACAGCUCAAAUUUGAAAGCUGGCCUUCGGGUCCGCAUUCGUAAUUUGUAGAGGAUGCUUUGGGUAAAACGCCAGUCUAAGUUCCUUCGGAACAGGACGUCAUAGAGGGUGAGAAUCCCGUAUGUGACUGGAAAUGUUAACCUAUGUAAAGCUCCUUCGACGAGUCGAGUUGUUUGGGAAUGCAGCUCUAAAUGGGAGGUAAAUUUCUUCUAAAGCUAAAUAUUGGCGAGAGACCGAUAGCGCACAAGUAGAGUGAUCGAAAGAUGAAAAGCACUUUGGAAAGAGAGUUAAAAAGCACGUGAAAUUGUUGAAAGGGAAGCGCUUGCAAUCAGACUUGUUUAAACUGUUCGGCCGGUCUUCUGACCGGUUUACUCAGUUUGGACAGGCCAGCAUCAGUUUCGGCGGCCGGAUAAAGGCUCUGGGAAUGUGGCCUCCACUUCGGUGGAGGUGUUAUAGCCCAGUGUGUAAUACGGCCAGCCGGGACUGAGGUCCGCGCUUCGGCUAGGAUGCUGGCGUAAUGGUUGUAAGUCUGACCCGUCUAA
rnacentral:rRNA from 1 species